AGCCUGUUAUGAUGAACUGCAUGUUCUGUCCGUGUUUCACCUGAUUAACCCUGAUUAUGCACAUGCUCUGAGCGGAUC
ensembl:snoRNA small nucleolar RNA SNORD126